rnacentral:rRNA from 1 species
CCCUUAGAUGUUCUGGGCCGCACGCGCGCUACACUGAUGCAUUCAACAAGCCUAGCCUUGACCGAGAGGUCCGGGUAAUCUUUGAAACUGCAUCGUGAUGGGGCUAGAUUAUUGCAAUUAUUAAUCUUCAACGAGGAAUGCCUAGUAAGCGUGAUUCAUCAAAUCGCGUUGAUUACGUCCCUGCCCUUUGUACACACCGCCCGUCGCUCCUACCGAUUGAAGUUUUCGGUGAGUUGACAGGAGGAUUUUUUUGAAACUGGUUCGCCAGUGGAUUUUAGAUCCAAAUGCCAACGAAUCGAUGGCUUUAGAGGAAGGAGAAGUCGUAACA